rnacentral:lncRNA from 1 species
AUUUUUAUAGCCUUUCUUCAAUCCCACACCAAAACCAACAUCAACAUCCAAAAGACCUCCCGAUCAAUGUUCGAGAGAUGCCAAAUCCGGCAAAUAAGGCCGAGAAUAAUACACUGAUCCCCAGCAAAGAAGAGGAUCGUAAGACUGGGAAUGAGUUGAUAGUCAAAAGAAUCCCCGGAAGAGAGGGUCGUAUCUACAACACCCCGGAUCCUCGAAAGAAAUAAAAUGAGAGAGUCUUAUCGGUGAAAACCUUCACAGGCACCGAGAGGCGAUGUAAGAUGAGGGAUAUGAAAUGAGAGAGUCUUAUCGGUGAAAACCUUCACAGGCACCGAGAGGCGAUGUAAG